ensembl:rRNA 5S_rRNA 5S ribosomal RNA
GCCUACAGCCAUACUAGCUCAGGCUGGGGUCUUAUCAGAUUUCAGAACCUAGAUGAGUUGAGCCUGGUCAGUACUUUGCUGGGAGACAUCCAUGGACUAGAGAGAUGUUGCAGGAA